rnacentral:rRNA from 1 species
UACGAAGGGGGCUAGCGUUGCUCGGAAUUACUGGGCGUAAAGGGCGCGUAGGCGGAUACUUAAGUUGGGGGUGAAAGCCCGGGGCUCAACCUCGGAAUUGCCUUCAAUACUGGGUAUCUUGAGUUCGGGAGAGGUGAGUGGAACUCCGAGUGUAGAGGUGAAAUUCGUAGAUAUUCGGAAGAACACCAGUGGCGAAGGCGACUCACUGGCCCGAUACUGACGCUGAGGCGCGAAAGCGUGGGGAGCGAACAGG